AGAUCUCUCUCUCUCUCUCUAUAUAUAUAUAUAUGAAUGAAUUAAUAUAUAUGUGAAUGAAUAUAUAUAUAUAUAUAUAUAUAUAUAUAUAUAUAUAUAUAUAUAGAGAGAGAGAGAGAGAGAG
rnacentral:miRNA from 1 species